GACAGAGGGUGCAACCGUUGUUCGGAAUUACUGGGCGUAAAGCGCGCGUAGGCGGCUUUGUAAGUUAGAAGUGAAAGCCCGGGGCUCAACCCCGGAAUUGCCUUUAAGACUGCAUCGCUUGAAUCCGGGAGAGGUGAGUGGAAUUCCGAGUGUAGAGGUGAAAUUCGUAGAUAUUCGGAAGAACACCAGUGGCGAAGGCGGCUCACUGGACCGGCAUUGACGCUGAGGUGCGAAAGCGUGGGGAGCAAACAGG
rnacentral:rRNA from 1 species